rnacentral:rRNA from 1 species
AGUGAACGCUGGCGGCGUGCCUAAUACAUGCAAGUCGAACGCGAAAGUCCUUCGGGAUGAGUAAAGUGGCGCACGGGUGAGUAAUACAUGGGAACAUGCCCUUGGAUGGGGAAUAACGUUUGGAAACGAACGCUUAUACCGCAUAAUCUCGCGAGAGUAAAGGUGGCGCCGCAAGGGCUACCGUCCAAGGAUCGGCCCAUGUCCCAUUAGCUAGUUGGCGGGGUAAUGGCCCACAAGGCAACGAUGGGUAUGUGGUCUGAGAGGAUGAUCACACACACUGGAACUGAGACACGGUCCAGACUCCUACGGGAGGCAGCAGUAGGGAAUAUUGCACAAUGGGGGAAACCCUGAUGCAGCAACGCCGCGUGAGCGAAGAAGGCCCUUGGGUUGUAAAGCUCUUUAGCGAGGGAAGAAGGUAGAUACGGUGAAUAAUCGUGUUUGCUGACGGUACCUCGAGAAUAAGCACCGGCUAAUUUCGUGCCAGCAGCCGCGGUAACAC